AGUGAACGCUGGCGGUAGGCCUAACACAUGCAAGUCGAACGGCAGCACAGGAGAGCUUGCUCUCUGGGUGGCGAGUGGCGGACGGGAGAGGAAUACAUCGGAAUCUGCCCAGUCGUGGGGGAUAACGUAGGGAAACUUACGCUAAUACCGCAUACGACCUUCGGGUGAAAGAGGGGGAUCGCAAGACCUCUCGCGAUUGGAUGAGCCGAUGUCGGAUUAGCUAGUUGGCGGGGUAAUGGCCCACCAAGGCGACGAUCCGUAGCUGGUCUGAGAGGAUGAUCAGCCACACUGGAACUGAGACACGGUCCAGACUCCUACGGGAGGCAGCAGUGGGGAAUAUUGGACAAUGGGCGCAAGCCUAAUCCAGCCAUACCGCGUGGGUGAAGAAGGCCUUCGGGUUGUAAAGCCCUUUUGUUGGGAAAGAAAUCUUUCAGGCUAAUACCCUGGGAGGAUGACGGUACCCAAAGAAUAAGCACCGGCUAACUUCGUG
rnacentral:rRNA from 1 species